rnacentral:rRNA from 1 species
CCUACGGGAGGCAGCAGUGGGGAAUAUUGCGCAAUGGGCGCAAGCCUGACGCAGCGACGCCGCGUGAGGGAUGAAGGUCUUCGGAUCGUAAACCUCUGUCAGCAGGGAAGAACGGUCACUGUGCUAAUCAGCAGUGAAUUGACGGUACCUGCAAAGGAAGCACCGGCUAACUCCGUGCCAGCAGCCGCGGUAAUGCGGAGGGUGCGAGCGUUAAUCGGAAUUACUGGGCGUAAAGCGCGCGUAGGCGUUAUGUCAAGUCAAGGGUGAAAUCCCCGCGCUAAACGUGGGAACUGCCUUUGAAACUGGCAGACUUGAGUGUAGGAGAGGAUAGUGGAAUUCCAGGUGUAGGAGUGAAAUGCGUAGAUAUCAGGAGGAACAUCAGUGGCGAAGGCGACUAUCUGGACUGUAACUGACGCUGAGGAGCGAAAGUGUGGGUAGCAAACAGGAUUAGAUACCCGAGUAGUC